rnacentral:tRNA from 1 species
AGGGGCGUAGCUCAGCUGGUAGAGCACCGGUCUCCAAAACCGAAGGUCGCAGGUUCGAAUCCUGUCGCCCCUG